AUGGUUCAGGAGGCCAAGCUGGAACGGGGCGCCCUGGAAGCCCUCCUAGUCAUGCAGAACUCAGAAAUUAAGCUCUUACAUCUGGCCAAGUGCUAUAAGGAAGCCUUUGGCGUAUUGCUUGACGAGGAGCAUCUGCUCUCAGUCUCAGCCCAAGUCGAAGCACUGAGCACAGUGCUACAGGAUACUGCUGUUCGUGUACUCAAAGGUUGCAACAAUGUCUGGCUUCAGGCGCGUCUCCCGUGGCUGGUCCAGCUGGUCACCUAUGUGUUGGAGAUGCCGGUUCGUUUCCAUGAUUCUGAUGAGUAG
rnacentral:rRNA from 1 species